rnacentral:misc_RNA from 1 species
GCAGAAAUUUUUCAUUUCUGUUGCUAAAAUUUGAGAAACACUUUUGGAGUUAGAGAUGCAGGCAAUUAAUUACCGUAAUGAAAAUAUGAUUGGGAGAUAGAAAAAUUUAUAUCUUAUCAGAAUGCAACAUUUAUAAAUAAAUAAAAAACAUUUCUUCUCUUAUUGCUUUGCAUCAAAACAAAAAUUUACUUGCCUGUGAGGUAUUUGUAAAAUAAAAUGGUAUGAGAGUGUGUAUUUGUGUGACAAAUAUCUUCUGUGUGAGACUGCUAGUUUGUGAAUGUUGUGAUAGAAUAUAUCUAAUUCAUUGUACAAUGUAUUUGUUGGCACUGUUUUAAGAACUUUUUAAAUUUUAUUUUAUAUAACAGUGCAGUUGAAAACUGUAUUGUUUACUGUUAGGCACAGAUGGGGGAAAUCUCUAAUACACGCAUAUGUUUAACAAAUUUAAGGAACAUCUGUAUUUUUUAAUUUAAAAAAAAAAACCAAAGACCAGAAAAGACUGGAAGAUCAUUUGGGCUCUGUAAGAGUUAUUCUGGAAAAACAAUUACAGCAAAGUGCCAAGAAGUUAAUUUGCAUAAAUUAAAAAUGUAUUUGUGAGAAAGUGAAAUAAUGGAUGUCCCGGUAUAAUAUUGCACAUGGAUGUCAGAUUACCCAGAUCUGACAAAGGGCUUUAUUAAGAAGAUAAUUUCAUUUGCAAAUUAUUGAUGUAGAUAUAAUUACUAUUUUAUUUGUUAAUAAUUUUUGUAUAGUGUGCAACAAUAAAUUCAUCAUUGUC